rnacentral:tRNA from 1 species
AAAAAUUUAGUUAAAAGAUAACGUAAGCUUGUCAAGCUUGAAUUAAUUACUAAUUAAUUUUUU